rnacentral:misc_RNA from 1 species
GUGAGUCAUCGAAUCUUUGAACGCACCUCGCGCCUCUUGGUAUUCCGAGAGGCACGCCUGUUUGAGUGUCUUAUGAACUCAAUCACCGUGGGUUUCUUCGACCCAUCGGUCGACUUGGAUCUGGGCGUCUGCCGGUCAACACGGCUCGCCUUAAAGACAUUAGCGGGACUUGCUGCCCGUGGCCUGACGUGAUAGGUUUCGUCUGACCCUGGUGGCCUAAUGCCCGCUCACGAACCCGCCUCAGGGCAAUCUACUUUGUGCCAGACCUCAAAUCAGGCGGGACUACCCGCUGAACUUAAGCAUAUCAAUAAGCGGAGGA